UGGUGUGAGCCAUUAAGCUAACUUGUACUAAUUACCCGUGAGGCUUAACCAUACAACGCCAAACGCGUUUUG
rnacentral:rRNA from 1 species